CCUACGGGAGGCAGCAGUAGGGAAUCUUCCACAAUGGACGAAAGUCUGAUGGAGCAACGCCGCGUGAGUGAAGAAGGAUUUCGGUUCGUAAAACUCUGUUGCAAGGGAAGAACAAGUAGCGUAGUAGCUGGCGCUACCUUGACGGUACCUUGUUAGAAAGCCACGGCUAACUACGUGCCAGCAGCCGCGGUAAUACGUAGGUGGCAAGCGUUGUCCGGAAUUAUUGGGCGUAAAGCGCGCGCAGGUGGUUCCUUAAGUCUGAUGUGAAAGCCCCCGGCUCAACCGGGGAGGGUCAUUGGAAACUGGGGAACUUGAGUGCAGAAGAGGAUAGUGGAAUUCCAAGUGUAGCGGUGAAAUGCGUAGAGAUUUGGAGGAACACCAGUGGCGAAGGCGACUGUCUGGUCUGUAACUGACACUGAGGCGCGAAAGCGUGGGGAGCAAACAGGAUUAGAUACCCUGGUAGUCCACGCCGUAAACGAUGAGUGCUAAGUGUUGGGGGGUUUCCGCCCCUCAGUGCUGCAGCUAACGCAUUAAGCACUCCGCCUGGGGAGUACGGUCGCAAGACUGAAACUCAAAUGAAUUGACGGGG
rnacentral:rRNA from 1 species